rnacentral:rRNA from 1 species
UUAUGGUCUAGAAUUUUCCAUUUGUAAAUUUUUUAUCUAUUUAUCCCAAUUAAUCUUAGAAAAAUCCACCAUCUAUUAUUCAACUUACCUAUUACUUCAAUUUUCACCAUUUUUCCUACUGAUUUCCUUUUUUAUAUGGUUUUUUCUUCUAAACCCCUCUUUAUUACCUUUUUUUUUGACUGUAAUACUUACGGCCCGCACUUUUAAUUUCUCUUACUACCCAAGUAAAUCUUACAACUUUAUUUUUUCCCUAUUUCCACUUUUUUUGUAUUUUUUCUUUCUCUUCCCCUCAAUUUUGCUUUGUAUCUUUCCACUAUUUUUUAAAUAUUAAUCUAUCUCUUCUACAUUUUUAACUUCUUACUUUUUCUUCCCUUAUAUUUCCCCCUCUAAUAAUCUCACUUUUCUUAAUCACUCUAUAUCUUAAUUUCGUUUAAUUACAAUUUCAUAUCUUUAAUAUUUUUUUAUUCUACUUUUAUUACC